rnacentral:hammerhead_ribozyme from 1 species
AUCCAGCUAACGAGUCCCAAAUAGGACGAAACGCGCGUUAUGGAU